AUCAGGGUGGCAGAGCCAAAAGUAGUGCGUCAGAGUUAAGUUCUGAAAACGGAUAUUUUAUCCUCCUGAUA
rnacentral:tRNA from 1 species